rnacentral:rRNA from 1 species
GACGAACGCUGGCGGCGUGCCUAAUACAUGCAAGUCGAACGCAGUGGGGACGGGUGAUUAACACGUGGGUAACCUCCCAUCAGAGGGGAUAACACUUGGAAACAGGUGCUAAACCGCUACUGUUGGAUGGCCCCGCUGUGCAUUAGCUGGUUGGUGAGGUAACGGCUCACCAAGGCCAAGAUGCAUAGCCGACCGGGGAGGGGGAUCGGCCACACUGGAACUGAGACACGGCCCAGACGCCUACGGGAGGCAGCAGUAGGGAAUCUUGGGCAAUGGGCGAAAGUCGGAACGAGCAACGCCGCGUGAGUGAAGAAGGUUUUCGGAUCGUAAAACUCUGUUGUUAGGGAAGCGGUAUCUAACCAGAAAGCCACGGCUAACUACGUGCCAGCAGCCGCGGUAAUAC